GUAGGGAAUCUUCCACAAUGGACGAAAGUCUGAUGGAGCAACGCCGCGUGAGUGAAGAAGGGUUUCGGCUCGUAAACUCUGUUGUUAAAGAAGAACAUAUCUGAGAGUAACUGUUCAGGUAUUGACGGUAUUUAACCAGAAAGCCACGGCUAACUACGUGCCAG
rnacentral:rRNA from 1 species